UGGACUGCAUGGCGGCUUCCUGACAACGAUCGGGUGGGCGAGCUCAAUCAACCAAAGCUGCAAAGUUCAAUUUUGUGGGCAAUUUCUUAAUCUGCAGAUUACGAAGCUUAUAUUGAAGAAUCUUGGAUGGAUUCCGAUCCUUCAAAUUUUCGCUGGAUUUGCUCCAUCAUUGGAGAACCGAUCUGGUAUUGACUUGUUGGCUUCACGUUAGUCCCUCCCUUCAGGUAUAUCUGUCACUUUAACUUUUUAUUAGGUUAUCUAUACAACACACCAACAAAUUCAAUGUUAUGGAGUAGACAAUAAUCUUUAAGCAAGGAGAAAGAUAUGCCUCGAUUCAAUUAGUUGCAGUAUUGAUUUGCCAAACAUGGUUUCGAUCGAUGUCACCAAAUCUUGCCUUUAUUCAAUUAGCCAGUGUUGAAGUUGGAGCUUCUUAAGAAGAACCAAAACAUGGUUUUCAAUUCAUGAGAAUGUUAAGCUCACCAUUGAGAUUGGGGACACGAGAAAGAUGAGUGCAAAGCGACUCCUUGGCAUCAAAGACCCUGAUGCUCCCACCAGGGAAGAGUUGGCUGCUGUUCUUGAAGAAGUCCCUUCUUUUAAGUUCCUAUGCAUAAUGCUCACUGUAAGUGAAUUUCAAAUGCCAUGAUUCAUGAAAUUACCAUCUUGGAUUACAAUAUUGACAUUACAUGUCACCGUAUUGUCGUUUAUUCAAACAAAGAUUCCAUGAGUGCAAUGAACCUAGCAAAUAUCAAAUGGUGGUUGGAAUCUUAAAUUCAAACAAGGUCUUUGCCUCGAUACAAAGUAGUAUAUACCAAUUUUGUAGGUGAGAUUGAAAUUUUAGAUUGGAAUGGUUCUGGAUUGUUUUGUUUAAUAUGAUUCCCAUGGUACUUGUAUGAAUAAUGUCGCAUGCAAGGUCUCCAGUACUAUACUCUUUGUUUCAAUAUUAAAUCAUUUAAGUAUGUAGACUCUGUUUUGCAUUUUUUUUUUUUUUUACAGAUGUUUUAACUGAAAAGACUCAUAAUUUGAGCUUCUUGUUGGAUUUCAGUGCAAUGGUUUAGGGAAGGGCAUACAAGGAGCGAUCUAGGUUUGAUUGUCAAGUAUGCAUGUCUACAGAUGCAUUUAGAUUCCAGUUUUCUUGAUAUUUGGCACUCCAAUCAGAUCUUUGCCAAUGAGUCACUUGAAUAUUACAAAAACUGUGCAGGCAUGCUGUAAAGGUACAGGACAUGAAGUUUAAUUUUCCAUUUUGAAGAGCCUUGUGUAUAAUGUGAAGGAUGUGUGAGGCUUGUCUUGUUAAGCUUUCUUGAAUAAGAGCAAAACCUGCUACUAUGUGCUUUUGCCUUUGAAAUAUAGGUUUGGAUCUUUUCCUUCAAGUCUGUGUGAAUAAUGAACUACCAAGAGAGUUUUGUAUUGUAAACCAUAUGUAAACCAUGUUUACUGCAAUAUAAGUUUCUUCUAUUCCAAAA
rnacentral:lncRNA from 1 species